rnacentral:rRNA from 1 species
AGUGAACGCUGGCGGCAGGCCUAACACAUGCAAGUCGAGCGGACGAAGGGGGCUUGCUCCCGGAUUCAGCGGUGGACGGGUGGGUCAUGCCUAGGAGUUUGCCUUAUCUUGGGGGAUAACGUCCGAAUACGGGCUCUGAUAUCGCAUAGGACCAUAUGUAGAAAUUGGGGGAUCUUCGGUCCGCACGGUUUCAGCUGAGCCUAGGUCGGAUUAGCUUGUUGGAGGGGUAAAGGCCUAACAAGGCGACGAUCCGUAACUGGUCUGAGAGGAUGAACAGGCACACUGGAACUGAGACACGGUACAGACUCCUACGGGAGGCAGCAGUGGGGAAUAUUGGGCGAUGGGCGAAAGCCUGAUCCAGCCAAGCCGGGUGAGUGAAGAAGGUCUUCGGAUUGGAAAACGAUUUAAGUUGGGAGGAAGGACAGUAAUUUAACCGCUGACUGUUUUGACGUUACCCAGAGAAUAAGCACCGGCUAACUUCGUG